rnacentral:lncRNA from 1 species
GUGACACCUUUGAAAGACUGCACUCAGCUUUAUCCAUCAAUGUUUCUCUCCCAGGUUUGAUGCUUUGCAGGUGCUCUGUGUGCACCCUCACUGCAUCCAGCGGGGUGACCAUGCUCCACAUCUCCCAGGGUCACUUUUCCCUCCAAAGGAAAGGCCUCUCAGGAGCAGCAGAUAGAAAACUAGCCCUGGGAACUCUGCAUUUUUUGGAGGAAACCUGCACAAUAUGCUUUUCAAGCCUGCUGUUCCAGAAGAGCAACUCAACACGUGCUGAACUUUGAUCCCCUGUCAAGGAAUAAAGCUGAACCGAGGGGGAAAGGAGCA